rnacentral:tRNA from 1 species
ACCUGGGUGGCUCAGUGGGUUGAGCGUUUGACUUAGGCUCAGGUCAUGAUCUCAUGGUCAGUGGGUUCGAGUCCCACAUCAGGCU